GCCUUCUUAGCUCAGUCGGUAGAGCAAGGGACUGAAAAUCCCUGUGUCCGUGGUUCAAUUCCGCGAGAAGGCA
rnacentral:tRNA from 2 species